GGUCGCGUGGUCUAAGGGGCCAUGACAUCUCGCUUACAGUCUUCUGUAUAUCCCGAGAAGGAUCCGUGUUCAAGUCACGGCGCGACUA